UUGACCUCAAAUCGGGUGAGACUACCCGCUGAACUAAGCAUAUCAUUAAGCGGAGNAAAGAACUAACAGGAUU
rnacentral:rRNA from 1 species